rnacentral:tRNA from 1 species
GCCACCCUAGCUCAGCCGGUAGAGCAGCCGCCUUGUAAGCGGCAGGUCGGGAGUUCGAUUCUCCCGGGUGGCU